CCAAUAGCGUAUAUUAAAGUUGUUGCAGUUAAAAAGCUCGUAGUUGAAUUUCGGGAUCAAUACGUCGGUCGUGCUUCGGUACGUACUGGCGUCAUUGAUUUCUCCCUUCUGACGAACCAUGAUGUCAUUAACUUGGUGUCUUGGGAAAUCAGGACUGUUACUUUGAAAAAAUUAGAGUGUUUAAAGCAGGCUCACGCUUGAAUACAUUAGCAUGGAAUAAUGAAAUAGGACGUUCGAUCCUAUUUUGUUGGUUUUAGGAUCAACGUAAUGAUUAAUAGGGAUAGUUGGGGGCAUUAGUAUUCAAUUGUCAGAGGUGAAAUUCUUGGAUUUAUUGAAGACUAACUACUGCGAAAGCAUUUGCCAAGGAUGUUUUCAUUAAUCAAGAACGAAAGUUAGGGGAUCGAAGACGAUCAGAUACCGUCGUAGUCUUAACCAUAAACUAUGCCGACUAGGGAUCGGAUGAUGUUAAUUUUUUAAUGACUCAUUCGGCGCCUUACG
rnacentral:rRNA from 1 species